UAUAUAUGCUGGAAAGCCGCUGGAAACAGAGGAACUUCCGAACUUCAUAGGGCAACGGGCCGGUUGAAAAACCGGGGAGGCAGGGCCAUAUACCUGCUUGACGGACAGUGCCACAGAAAAUAUACCGCCCGCAAGGGUAAGGGUGAAAAGGUGAGGUAAGAGCCCACCGCGUGUAAAGUAAUUUGCACGGCAAGGCGAACCCCCCGUGAAGCAAGGCCAAGCCAGUUGCGCUGCCCGCGCUGGAUUACUCCAUAAAAGACAAAGUAGGCCGCUUAGAUAAAUGGCUUUCACCUUUCGGGCUUUAGUCCGGGGGGGACAGAAUUCGGGGUACAAGCAAAACCACCUG
rnacentral:RNase_P_RNA from 1 species